GGAUAUGAUCUGAGAGGUUGGCAUUUCUUCCUUGGUCCUUGAGAUAAAAGGAUUCUCAACCGGAAAACUAAAGGAUAAGCAAGAAAAGAGAUCUUUGGGCAUCUGUGACAAGAUUCUUUACCCAUCUUUGGAAACUUAUAAAGAAAAUAUUACAGCAAACAAGAAUGAGGAAGGCACAAAACAGUUCCAGAACUUCUAAGCAACCAAAAGUAACUGAAAAGUCAACUGAAAAUAGUAGUAGCUAUUUUUUCUCAUAUUGUAAGAAUCCAGUUAGCUCAGACCAAAGGAAACUCCUUUUAAAUUUAGAGCCCACAGUUGAAACCUGUGAGGUCAACCAACUGAAAGUAAAUACAUGAUUAAAUAAGAAUUUCCACAGUUGGAAUUGUGUGCAAAGAUGAAUUUGACAUAGUACCUUUCAAAGGGCCUUUAAGACAGAAAAGCAACACAAAUCCUCCUUACAGGGUUGAUGACAGUUAGAUAGAAACUGUAUGAAACUCAGCACAAUGAGAAAAGUUCAUUAAAGGAAAAUCGAGAAAAUGAUUAGUGUUGACUGUGAGCCUUGAAUAAUGGGCAGAAUUAUAUCCCAUGGAAAUAGUAGAAAGAGAUAGAAGAGGUUUUUUAAAAAGUAAAGGCACACAGCUUGAAAUGCCUUGUACGCAGACCAGCCUCUUCCUCAGCACCCCAGGGAGCCUCCUGAUACCCCUAGCCAUGCUUUUGGAUCUAAUAUCCCAUGACAUGACAAGGAUGACCUUUCCAGCCUGCAAUACCUGCUUGACCACUAAGACCAAACAGCUCAAAUUAAAGGUAACAAAUUCUGCAGAGGCAAUUGUUCAACAGAGUGUGUGUGGAUGAUACAGCAAAUAAACCUUCUUCUAGUUCUUAAAGGUUAUGGUUUUCAGUGUUUAGUGAGCAUCCGUGUUUGUCUUUAAAGGAUAGAAAAAUGCAGGAGGUAUCUUGUAUCCAUGAAGAUACUAAAACUUGGAUUUCCUCAGGAAAUUGAUCACUCAAGCAUCCAUAAUCUUAGUAGACUGCCCUUAUAGUCGUAUUGCAGAAUGUGUGAUCUGCCAUCUACUGAGGGCUCAUUUUUCCCUCUCCUCUCUCAUCCAAGAUUGGUGAUAGUUUCAAAUUUUUCUCCCACUAUUAUGUAGAAUAAUUUCCAAACUUGACACUCAAUUGAAUCAUGGUGUCCAGGAAAAUAGAUAAAAUAAAUAUGACUUCAUAUACCAGAAGUCAUAUUCCUUUGAAUACAAUCAGGGCCAUAAAUGGCACUUGCUUCUAUAACACAAAGUGCUAACUUGGAACCAGUUUCUAUUGCAAUAAUUAUAAGAAACAAAGACCUCCAACUGAAUGAACCCCUCUGAAAUAUUUUAAUAAACUCUGAGGAGUACUAUUUGUCAAGCAAAGAAAUACUGAAUUAAGGUAAAUGCCAUCUUAGGAUGAAAAGAAUAGCAACAGUGCCUACCUUCAUUACCUCAGCCUCUCCCUGGCUAAGAUAAUCACUUAAUCUUUUAUGCCUUUGCUAAAACCUCAUUAGUAAAAAGGAGACCUGCCUACUAAGCAUAAGGGUAAGGCUUUAAUGGACUUUAGAAAUCAUUUACAUUUAUGACUCAAAGCACUGAAGUGCAAAUUCUUUUUAUUUGAAUAUUUGAGGGCAUUAAAUGAGCAUUUUUAAUGGAUUUCAAUUGUCAGGAUAAAAUAAAAUUUCUCAAGGGGAAUCUGAAUUUUAACAAACAUUAAAAUCAAAGAAGUAAAAAGAUGAAUAAAUGGAGAAAAAGAUCCCAUGACCGAGACACCUCAUGCCUUCCAGAAGCUGAAGGUGAAAGCUCACUAAGAUUAAACAACUGGGAAAUGUUAAAUGAAAAAGUAUCACAGCUGAGACAAAGCUCCUCGACCUCAGCAUGUUUGUCAGUGUGCCCAAC
rnacentral:lncRNA from 1 species